GGUGAACGCUGGCGGCGUGCCUAAUACAUGCAAGUCGAGCGAACGGACGAGAAGCUUGCUUCUCUGACGUUAGCGGCGGACGGGUGAGUAACACGUGGAUAACCUACCUAUAAGACUGGGAUAACUUCGGGAAACCGGAGCUAAUACCGGAUAAUAUUUUGAACCGCAUGGUUCAAAAGUGAAAGACGGUCUUGCUGUCACUUAUAGAUGGAUCCGCGCUGCAUUAGCUAGUUGGUAAGGUAACGGCUUACCAAGGCAACGAUGCAUAGCCGACCUGAGAGGGUGAUCGGCCACACUGGAACUGAGACACGGUCCAGACUCCUUCGGGAGGCAGCAGUAGGGAAUCUUCCGCAAUGGGCGAAAGCCUGACGGAGCAACGCCGCGUGAGUGAUGAAGGUCUUCGGAUCGUAAAACUCUGUUAUUAGGGAAGAACAUAUGUGUAAGUAACUGUGCACAUCUUGACGGUACCUAAUCAGAAGGCCACGGCUAACUACGUG
rnacentral:rRNA from 1 species